GUGGUAGGGCUAUUCUCAGUGUCAUGUUUUUAUCUAUGGUGGACUAUCUACAAUGUCAUGUUCUUUUCCAUGGCAAACUAUUCUUAGUACUAUAUUCCUACUCAUAACGAGCUAUUCUUAGCAUUAUUUUUCUACCUAUGGCAGGCUAUUCUCAGUGUCAUAGCAACCAUCUCUUUAAUCUCUUUUUUAGGUGAGGAUCCGUGUGGA
rnacentral:lncRNA from 1 species